rnacentral:misc_RNA from 1 species
AACCUGCGGAAGGAUCAUUACCGAGUUCUGGGUUCCUUCUCUUAGGGCCCGCUCUCCCACCCUUUGUGUAUCUCACCUUGUUGCUUUGGCGGGCCAGCGCCCCUAAAAAGGCGCGGCCGGCUCCCAUACCGGGGGCUGGCAAGCGCCCGCCAGAGGAAUAUCAAACUCUUAUCAGUAAACGAUGAAGUCUGAUCGAAUAUAUUAAUAUUCUAAAACUUUCAACAACGGAUCUCUUGGUUCUGGCAUCGAUGAAGAACGCAGCGAAAUGCGAUAAGUAAUGUGAAUUGCAGAAUUCAGUGAAUCAUCGAAUCUUUGAACGCACAUUGCGCCCUAUGGUAUUCCGUAGGGCAUGCCUGUUCGAGCGUCAUUACAACCCUCAAGCUCUGCUUGGUAUUGGGCGUCGUCCCCCAAACGGACGUGCCUCAAAGACCUCGGCGGUGGCCUCUUUGCCUCAAGCGUAGUAAAACAACUCUCGCUUUGGAGUCGAAGGAGUCGCCCGCCGGACGAACCUUCUGAACUUUUUUCUCAAGGUUGACCUCGGAUCAGGUAGGGAUACCCGCUGAACUUAAGCAUAUCAAUA